CGCUGGCGGCACGCCUUAUACAUGCAAGUCGAACGAAGUAGCAAUACUUAGUGGCAGACGGGUGAGUAACAUGUAGGUAUCUACCCUUUGGUGAGGAAUAACACGAGGAAACUUGUGCUAAUACCUCAUAAGUCUUUACGGAGAAAGCUUUAUGCGCCAAAGGAUGAGCCUGCACUUGAUUAGUUUGUUGGUGGGGUAAUGGCCUACCAAGACUUUGAUCUAUAGCUGAUCUGAGAGGAUGAUCAGCCACAUUGGGACUGAGACACGGCCCAAACUCCUACGGGAGGCAGCAGUAGGGAAUAUUGCACAAUGGAGGAAACUCUGAUGCAGCGAUGCCGCGUGAGUGAAGAAGGCCUUUGGGUUGUAAAGCUCUUUCGUCGGGGAAGAAAAUGACUGUACCCGAAUAAGAAGGUCCGGCUAACUUCGUGCCAGCAGCCGCGGUAAUACGAAGGGACCUAGCGUAGUUCGGAAUUACUGGGCUUAAAGAGUUCGUAGGUGGUUAAAAAAGUUGGUGGUGAAAUCCCAGAGCUUAACUCUGGAACUGCCAUCAAAACUUUUUAGCUAGAGUAUGAUAGAGGAAAGCAGAAUUUCUAGUGUAGAGGUGAAAUUCGUAGAUAUUAGAAAGAAUACCAAUUGCGAAGGCAGCUUUCUGGAUCAUUACUGACGCUGAGGAACGAAAGCAUGGGUAGCGAAGAGGAUUAGAUACCCUCGUAGUCCAUGCCGUAAACGAUGUGUGUUAGACGUUGGAAAUUUAUUUUCAGUGUCGCAGCGAAAGCAUUAAACACACCGCCUGGGGAGUACGACCG
rnacentral:rRNA from 1 species